GACGAACGCUGGCGGCGUGCCUAAUACAUGCAAGUAGAACGCUGAAGAGAGGAGCUUGCUCUUCUUGGAAGAGUUGCGAACGGGUGAGUAACGCGUAGGUAACCUGCCUUGUAGCGGGGGAUAACUAUUGGAAACGACAGCUAAUACCGCAUAACAAUGGAUGACCCAUGUCAUUUAUUUGAAAGGGGCAACUGCUCCACUACAAGAUGGACCUGCGUUGUAUUAGCUAGUAGGUGAGGUAACGGCUCACCUAGGCGACGAUACAUAGCCGACCUGAGAGGGUGAUCGGCCACACUGGGACUGAGACACGGCCCAGACUCCUACGGGAGGCAGCAGUAGGGAAUCUUCGGCAAUGGGGGGCAACCCUGACCGAGCAACGCCGCGUGAGUGAAGAAGGUUUUCGGAUCGUAAAGCUCUGUUGUAAGUCAAGAACGAGUGUGAGAGUGGAAAGUUCACACUGUGACGGUAGCUUACCAGAAAGGGACGGCUAACUACGUGCCAGCCGCCGCGGUAA
rnacentral:rRNA from 1 species